CAAGCCCGUGGUCCACCUGAGCACCGUUAAACCUCACUGUGAAGAGAGGCAGUCAGGAAGAUGUGCUGGAGGGUGGGAUGGCAAAACUGAGACUUUAAAAGCAAGCAGGACUAGGACUCAGGAAAGGGCAGGAAAGUUGGAGGCAGAGGAACAGCGUUUGCAAAGGCCCCUGGCCCUGAGAGCCGGCUGCCUGGAGGGGCUUGCUGCAGCUCAGCGUGGGUGAUACACAGAAGCACUAGAGCAGGGCCCAGGGGCAGCUGAAGAUGCUCCAAUAGGCAGAGCAGGGCAGUUCUCCAAAGGCAUCAGGCAAAGGCCUUCGCUCGAGUAUGUACCACAGACUCCUUGGGCAGUCUGCAGAAGCCCUUGGACUCCUGCCCAGAACACUGCCUCUCAAGGUAUAAAAUAAAACACACAGGAUUACAUAGGAAAUAAA
rnacentral:lncRNA from 1 species